rnacentral:rRNA from 1 species
UACGUAGGGUGCAAGCGUUAUCCGGAAUUAUUGGGCGUAAAGAGCUCGUAGGCGGUUUGUCGCGUCUGCUGUGAAAACUCAGGGCUUAACCCUGAGCCUGCAGUGGGGUACGGGCAGACUAGAGUGUGGUAGGGGGAGAUCGGAAUUCCUGGUAUAGCGGUGGAAUGCGCAGAUAUCAGGAGGAACACCGGUGGCAAGGCGGAUCUCUGGGCCAUAACUGACGUGGAGGCGCGAAAAGCCAGGGGGAGCAAAACGGGGA